AAGGUUUAUUGUUUUCUGAAAUUAUUUAAAUUGAUAUUGUGAAGAUCUGCUGCAUGCCACUGGUCCAGGAAUUUGCGUAUGUAUUGUACUGCAUCUGUAACAUUUGUGUCCCUGCACCAUUUUUCUUCAUGUGGACAUAAAUAAAUGGUUAAAAUGAGUGUAUUCUAGGCGUGUACAUUUCUG